UCUUGGACAGAGAAUGUCAUGGGAUGAUAAUUUCUGUUCUUGCCUGCAAAUUGGGAAUGUUAAACCCUGCUUCCCGGGGGUGUGACACAGGUGGUAUGGGUAAUGUACUGACAGCCUCCCAGGUGUUCAGCGUGGGGCAGGUGUGGAGGGCACGUCAGCUCUUCCCUCACGCUUGCCAGCUCUGGGCUACCUUCUGUCUGCUAAGUGAGAGGCUCCGUGGCUUACAAGCCGUACAGGGUAUGUGAGAGCUUCCCCUCAGCAAGCGUGUGGUCUAGGAAGGAAGGUGCGAUGUGGAAACAGACAGCUACUGGUAGGAAGGAGCCCCAGCAAUGGCACCUUUUCCUGGAAACUAGGAGGUUCAGAGUGGAACCCUGGCAUUGGGUGAAUUCUGGAAAAUGUGGCAGUGAUCUGUUAGCCCCUGGGACCUGCUCGUCCUUCAGGGAGACCCUGAACAUUCUGCUUGCAGCCCCUGGCAGCCUACAGAAGCAAAGGCCACCUGCUGGAGGGCCAGAGGCUGAUGCACAGAGGGUAGGUGGAGGGGCCAUGCACAGCAGACUCCCAGAGGGAGUGCUUCUGCCGCAGACUGGUCUGCAUGAGACGUGAGAGGGAAAGGAGCAAGAACAGCCUGAUGAAGUUUGUUUCCAACCUAAAGUGAAGGACCAAGAAUGACUGACCCUAUGCAGCCCUCAUUGCCAUUGAUUUACUGGUUCCCAUCAUGGGUCCACGUCAGAAUCACCUGCGGAGAUUUAAAAAGUUGCAAGCACCUGUCUCCACCCGUGGGCAUUCUCACGUUGGAGGACUUAGGGUGGGGCCCAGACAUUUGCUUUAAAAAAAUGCUCUGCAGGUCAUUAGGGAAGCAGCCAGGGCGUUGACGCAUGCCGUUGAUCAAUGUGGGCUUGGUUGCUCUUUAAACAAAAAUACUCUUAGAGGAGGGGCGUUGAUAAUGCCAGUAGGUUUCCGUGCCAAUACUCCUUCAGAUGGUUCUGUUUGCCAAAAUAGAUACGAGAAGCUCACAUGAGUAGACAGAUAAAAAGCCAACAUUUCACAGGUGGUCUUCCCUAGAAGCACCAAGCAGAGCGUCACUGACCCAGCUGGAGGGUUACUGGCUUUCAGUGGGCGUCCAUCACGUGCUAGGGACAGUGCCAGCCGGUCACACAUACGUUCUCUCAGAAGAAAGUUACCUGAGUGUGACCCCAGCCUGCAGGGUGAGGACAGCACUGCUCCAGGGACCACGGCGAUAGUGAAUGCACCUCGGCUCCACCCGCCGGGCCUGCCGCACAGCUCACCUUCGCCUCAG